CCAGGCAAGGCCUCGCGACCGCUGGGCCGAGGGACCGAGUUAUUCUGAGGUUUGACGUCAGGGACCUGGAGCGAACAGCAGAGGCUGGGGGGCUCCUGCCCAGCCUCUGACCCUUCCCUGCUUGGCUUUGGGUGCAGAAGGAGAAGAGAAAGAGGCCCCAGCUGAGCCUGGCUGAGGGGUGGGGUGCUAGCCAUCGGGCCGGUGUGUCCUGGGUCCUCCAGUGUGGACAGAGCAUGUGGACACCGGGGAGGUAGAGGCAGGAGGGAUGGAUGGCCUAGGGGUGAGGGGAGACCAGAGCAAGAGACUGGGAGAGACUCAGGUAGACGCCAGCCAGACAGGAGAGAGAAUAAGAGUGACAGAGGCACCCACGGAGUUAGAGAAAGCGAGUCAGGCCACCGUGAGAGCCCUAGGACAAGAGGCAGACAGACACAGAGACAGAGAGAGGCAGAGACACACAGAGAGAUCGGCAGAGAGGGCCAGCGGUUCUCGGUACAGCAUUCCUGCUGCAGCUCUUCACCCAGAUGAAGUGGUGGAGCAGAGCCAACGUGCAUCCCGCUGAGCUGAUAGCCGGCUCCAGACAGACCAGGCAGGAUUGGGGACCCCCGAGAAUACCAGCAUGGACAAGUGACACUCCCUGCCCCAAGGUUGCCUGCCACCCUUGGACUGACUUGACAAGGACUGAGCUUCCCCCACCCAGUGGUGCAGAGCUCCAGAUAGAGAUGAUGUUGAGUGGAGCAACAGCCUACUGCGCUGCUGUAUCCCUGCCCAGAAGGGAAAACUGAGCCUUGCUUAUCAACCGCCACGUGGCAAGUAAGUGCUGGGGCCGGGAUGUGAACUCAGGUCCACCUGAUUCCCACGUCAGUACUCUUUAGCCCCAUGGUGCUCCAUGGUGACCCCUGCCUGGGAUUAUCAGGCUACGUGGACAGAUACCUGGAGAGGACACUCCACUGCCAGAUAAAGAGGCGAGGGACCUCCUAACCUGAAAACCAUUGGUUUAAAUCCAUCAUUUGGCUCAGCCAAUGUUAUCCAAGCACUAGACACCCAGGGGAGUCAAAGAUGGAUGAGAAGGUGAGACCUGGGGGAGAAAAAGCAGGUGGGAGGUGAGAGAAGUGUUCACAGGAGAGGUGACAAGGCCUGAGCCAGGGCAGUGGCCAGGAAGACAGGAGGAUGGCCUGAGAAACUGAGGCAACAGGAUGGUUGGGACCUGCUGCCUGGGGGUGAGUUGGGGGUGAAGGACUCCCCAGGGCCAUAGAUGACCUACUGGCUGGGUGGUAAUGUCUUCAACAGGACAGGUGGGCAGGGGAAGGAAGAGCUGAGUUUCAGGCAGCUUUGGAGUUGAGAUACUGUGAGCCCUCGGAGAGGAGAUCAGGAGCCCAUCAGAUGUUGGUUUGGUGUCACUGGGGGGCAGGUUGGAGACGGUGCUGCUGGAAGUGACAGGGGCAGCCCUGUGGGUUGUGCCACGAAGUGUGAGAGGAAGCAAAGAAUGGAGACUGUGUCCUAGGAAACACCAACAUUUCAGGGUGGGGAAAGGAGCAGGAGUGGCCGGAGGGAUUGGAGGAUGCUUGUGCGUCCACGCAUUCAUCCAUUCAACAGACAUGUAUUGAGCACCCACUAUGUGCCAGGCACUGUUCUAGGCCCUGGGAACCCAGUAGUGAACAAAACAGACAUGGCUCCUCCCUUCUUGGGGCUCACAGACCAAAAGGAAUGCUUUUAAGAAUAGGUGGUGGUAGGUGUUAAGGGAGAAAACCAAAGCUGAGUAAAGGGAUAGAGAGUGGCAGAAGGAUUGUGGCUAUUUUAAAUGGGGUGGACAGGCAGGGCCUUUCUGAGGAGGUGGCAUUUAAGCACUAGACCCGAGGUGGGUCAGGAGUGAGCCACAGAAGUGUCUGGGUGAGGGGUGUUCCAGGCUGUAAGGAUUUUUGUUCAAUAAGAGAAUAACUAAAGAGAAUGGGAGUCCCAGGAGGGUUUUGAGGAGAGGAUCUAGCUUAGGUUUUAACGGGACCCCUCUGUCUGCUGAGUGCAGAAUGAACUAUGGGGGUCAGGGUGGAAAUGGAGCCCAGGGCAGCGGCCAUGACGACCAUACAGGUAGGAGAUGGAGGUGGCUGGUCCUGGGUGGAGGUAGGGAAAGUAGUCGGAGUAGCAGCUGAGGACUGGUUGAUGGAGACUGUUUCUAGAAGGAUGAUAUUGGUCAGCAAUAUUAAAUUUGCCAAGAAGUCAAGUAAGAUGAAGACUGAGCUGUGGCCAUUGGAAGUGGGAAGUGGGAAGUGGGAAGUGGGAGGCUGCUUAGGGAAAGGAGAGAGUGGAGGAGGAAGUGGAGGCAGAGCUUGUGGAUUUCUGAGAGACAGGCCAGACGUCAGAGGGUGUGGGGGUUGGAGAAGGGGCUUGUUCUCCUUCCUCCUCAUUCUCUGCUUUCUCUUUCUUUUUUAACAUAGGAGAUACUUGGAUGCAAUUAAAGACUGAGGGGAUGGAACAGCAGAGAGGGAGGUGGUGUUAGAGACACAGGAGGGCAUGGUUGGUUUGAGGAGGUUGAGGGGCUGCAAGGGAUGGAACCCACAGGUAGGGAAGAGUGGCCUUGGCUCAUGGAGGAACACUUCCCUCUGAGCCAGAGAAAGGCCCUGGGGACUGGUGGGUGCAUGGGUGAAUCUGCAAGUGUGGGGCAGGCCCCAUUUCUCUUUGAAGUAGGAGGUCCAUGGUCUGGUGAGAUGAUGGACAGAGGGUGAAGAUGGAGGCCUGAGGAGGAGGUGAGGUUUGGCACGACCCUUAUGGGACUGGAAACAGCUGCCUGAAGAGACACACACAGAUUUCAAGGCAGCAUGGAGCCCCCUGGGUUGGACUCUGGUGUAUGAGGCCAAGAGCUCCCUUGAAGGGGAAGCCAGGGGUGGGAUGGUGGCAGCUGGAAGCGCUGCAGGGCAGGAGGGGUGGAGGGCAAAAAGGCAGGGACUAUGGGAAGAUGGUGAGUGGGGGGCUAGGGAGAUAGAUGGCCAGGGCAGGAAUGAAACAGGAGGUUAAGUGUGUAUUCGAGUGUGUGCACAAAUCAGCUUGACUAGAUACAUAUAGAGCAACCUCUCCACCUGGGGGAUGGACCAACCCAGGGUAUGCAGAAGGCAAUCCUUUGGAAAACAGGAGGAAACCACCAGAACUUCAGUUUAC